rnacentral:rRNA from 1 species
UACGUAGGCAGCGAGCGUUGUUCGGAGUUACUGGGCGUAAAGAGUGCGUAGGCGGUUUUCUAAGUUUGGUGUGAAAUCUCCCGGCUUAACUGGGAGGGUGCGCCGAAGACUGGAAGGCUUGAGUAUGGGAGAGGUAAGCGGAAUUCCUGGUGUAGCGGUGAAAUGCGCAGAUAUCAGGAGGAACACCGGUGGCGAAGGCGGAUCUCUGGGCCAUUACUGACGCUGAGGAGCGAAAGCGUGGGGAGCGAACAGG